ensembl:lncRNA disrupted in schizophrenia 2
AUUUUAGGAUGAGGGAACAAACCCUGAAGGUGUGAACAAGCUCGGUGCAUCUAGACAUGUAAGGAAGGUUCCAGCAUGUGAAGGAGCGAGGACGGAGAAGGGUCCGGUGAGGUCUUACAGCAACAGAGGGUCCAGCCACAUGAGGCUGAGCAGCCAAGCUGGGAAAGCGGAAAUCUGGAGAACUAAAAUAUCUUGCUGAAGAUCACAAUGCAGUAAAGCAUAGGGCUGUGCUUAUGAAGUCCCAACAUGUCUUCUGGGCUGUGUUUUCAACCAAGAGAGUUAAUAAAAAGUGGGAUGGGCACCAACUAUGCCUCCAGAGACAUCAGGCAGAAUAUGCCACAGCGUGCCAUGUCCUCCUGCAAACAGUCAGAAAGAAAAGAUCUCUAAAAGCAGAUUGGAAGAGACUAUAUAUACAGAGCGAGUGCCGGUACAGAAGUUUUGCUGCAAAUACACCCUCUAAUCCCUUGCAACCCACUGCAAGCUCGAGAGACCAGUGCCCUUGGUAAAACAUAGGAGAGAUCAUUAAUUAAAGCCUAGGCCCUUUCUUUGAUCCUGAGGGAUAAGGCUUGGGAAAAUGCACAGUGAUAAAAGUGAACAUUUUAAAAGAGCAGAGUGAGUGUGAAUUCCCAAAGAGACCAUUCAUAUCAAGACCCAAGCCAUGAGAAAAUGCUACAAUGCCCUUGAUCAAUACUUUAUAGGCAUUUUGACCUCAGAUCUAAUCCCAUGAGGCUUAGACCAAGACCUUGCUUGAUGCAGACCUCUCUGACUGCUGAAAUUGGUCAGGAGCUCAGUGAUGAAAAUUUGGAAAGUCAAUGCUGAUACCUGAAGAAAGUCCCAUCAGAGAUCUGUGACCUGAAUCUUCAUAACUUUCACAGGCCCUUUCUAAAUGCCAAGGAGGAUGUGUGUGGAGAAGAAUAUGCCACCUAUGGCAUCCCAAUAUGCCUGUGCCCGCCUGCUCUUCAACAAGGGAAUGAAACCUGGGUAUUCUCAUAGGUUUUUUAAAGCACUUGUCCACAUAUUUUAUUCCGCAAAUAACACAAUUUAAAAUUCAGCUAGAAUUUGCCAUUUUCUGUCAGGGUUGUGCAUUUCUUCCAGUCACCAUGACUUCCUGAGAUAGCCAAAACACAAAAUUUAAAUUGUGUUUAAAUUAAAUAAACACAAUUUAUGCUGAAGCUGACUUU